GCCUUUCUCCAGAAAGAUGCUCUUCCUCUAGGACACAUGACAACCCUCUUUGCCUGGGUGGCAGCCGCAGGGUUGCACGGAAUGAUACCAGCUAUGUGAGUCAUCAUGCUGGAGACUGGAGUCAUGCUGAUGAGUGAAGCAGUCACAAGGUGACAGUUGAGGAGAGAAGACAGAUACUGAGUCAAUAAUGCAUCCAUGUGGUGAUGUAAAUACUGGGCCUUGGCAACCAGUGUUCUGCUGUGUCAUGCAGACGCCUCAUGGCACAUUGUUUGGUUGGCCUCCCAUAUGAGAGUUCAGGGGACUUCCUUCAGCAGUAAUCAUGACUGGCUUGCCGUUAAUAGAUAUUCUUCAGUUUGCAAUGAGGUACUUUGAUUUUUCAGUGUGUUUUAUAAUGAUAGGUAACUCUGUUGAAACCUAAUUGAGGAUACAUAGUUGUGUAAGAAUUUUGUAUGAAACCUGGAACCAAAUUCAAUCUUGCAGAAGAGCCAACUCCAGUGACUGAGUGGUUGUUCGGGCUUAAAUACUCUGUAUGAUUAGCUGAAUAAGCCAGCUUUGCUUUUCUGACAAGACUAAUUUCAGUUGAUAUUAUCAAGCCAAAAUAAAUGAUAUACAGGAUUUUGAGAACUCAGCAGACAGAAAAUCUUCAUAGUAAAGAUUGUGGGGCUGGAGUA